rnacentral:sRNA from 1 species
CGAAAGCCUGACGGAGCAAUACCGCGUGCGGGACGAAGGCUUUUGGGUCGUAAACCGCUUUUGUUAGGGAAGAAGAACUGACGGUACCUAACGAAUCAGCAUCGGCUAACUCCGUGCCAGCAGCCGCGGUAAUACGGAGGAUGCAAGCGUUAUCCGGAAUUAUUGGGCGUAAAGCGUCCGCAGGUGGUUUAUCAAGUCUGCUGUCAAAGCAUGGGGCUUAACUCCAUAUCGGCAGUGGAAACUGAGAGACUAGAGUACGGUAGGGGUAGCGGGAAUUCCCAGUGUAGCGGUGAAAUGCGUAGAUAUUGGGAAGAACACCAGCGGCGAAAGCGCGCUACUGGGCCGAAACUGACACUCAUGGACGAAAGCUAGGGGAGCGAAAGGGAUUAGAUACCCCUGUAGUCCUAGCUGUAAACGAUGACAACUAGGUGUUGCACGUAUCGACCCGUGCAGUGCCGUAGCUAACGCGUUAAGUUGUCCGCCUGGGGAGUACGCACGCAAGUGUGAAACUCAAAGGAAUUGACGGGGGCCCGCACAAGCGGUGGAGUAUGUGGUUUAAUUCGAUGCAACGCGAAGAACCUUACCAGGACUUGACAUGUCGCGAAUUCUUGUGAAAGUGAGAAGUGCCUUCGGGAGCGCGAACACAGGUGGUGCAUGGCUGUCGUCAGCUCGUGUCGUGAGAUGUUGGGUUAAGUCCCGCAACGAGCGCAACCCUCGUUUCUAGUUGCCAUCAUUGAGUUGGGCACUUUAGAGAGACUGCCGGUGACAAACCGGAGGAAGGUGGGGAUGACGUCAAGUCAGCAUGCCCCUUACGUCCUGGGCUACACACGUACUACAAUGCUGUGGACAAAGAGUUGCGAGCCAGCGAUGGCAAGCUAAUCUCGUAAACCAUGGCUCAGUUCAGAUUGCAGGCUGCAACUCGCCUGCAUGAAGGAGGAAUCGCUAGUAAUCGCAGGUCAGCAUACUGCGGUGAAUACGUUCCCGGGCCUUGUACACACCGCCCGUCACACCAUGGGAGUUGACCACGCCCGAAGUCGUUACUCCAACCGAAAGGAGGGGGGGAUGCCGAAGGCAGGGCUGAUGACUGGGGUGAAGUCGUAACAAGGUAGCCGUACCGGAAGGUGUGGCUGGAUCACCUCCUUUAAGGGAGACCUCCCGCUUAGGUUCAGAGUAAUGCUGGAGCUAAGACGGUCAACCUAAGGUCGGUCGAGGGAAAUAGUCAAGCGACUUUCAAACUAUCUAGGUGAUGAGGGAAAUGGGCUAUUAGCUCAGGUGGUUAGAGCGCACCCCUGAUAAGGGUGAGGUCCCUGGUUCGAGUCCAGGAUGGCCCACCUUUGAAGAGGGGGUUUAGCUCAGUUGGUAGAGCGCCUGCUUUGCAAGCAGGAUGUCAACGGUUCGAGUCCGUUAACCUCCACUAGAGUUCAGCAUCUUAUUUCAAGUGUAUUAAAGACAAUUGAGAAAGCCUGCUGGAUUAAAUCCAGAUAGAACCUUGAAAACUGCAUAGUGACUUGUCAGGUAGAAGCAACGCUUAGCGAAUUAUUCUUAAU